rnacentral:rRNA from 1 species
UAAGGAAUAUUGCUCAAUGGGAGAAAUCCUGAAGCAGCAACGCCGCGUGGAGGAUGAAGGGUUUUUAACUUGUAAACUCCUGUAAAGAAGGAAAAAAUUCCCAUUAGAUGGGAAAUGAUGGUACUUCUGGAGUAAGCCCCGGCUAACUACGUGCCAGCAGCCGCGGUAAUACGUAGGGGGCAAGCGUUGUCCGGAUUUACUGGGUGUAAAGGGUGCUCAGGCGGAUUUGUAAGUCAGAGGUGAAAUCUCACAGCUUAACUGUGAAACUGCCUUUGAUACUGCAAGCCUAGAGUAUGGAAGAGAGUGAUGGAAUAUCUGGUGUAGCAGUGAAAUGCGUAGAUAUCAGAUAGAACACCAAUGGCGAAGGCAGUCACUUGGUCCAUAACUGACGCUAAAGCACGAAAGCGUGGGUAGCAAACAGGAUUAGGUACCCUGGUAGUCCACGCCCUAAACGAUGAAUACUAGAUGUUGGCUUCGCAUGAAGUCAGUAUCUGAGCUAACGCAUUAAGUAUUCCACCUGGGAAGUACGAUCGCAAGGUUGAAACUCAAGGAAUUGACGGGGUCAUAGCUGUUUUCCA